rnacentral:rRNA from 1 species
AUAUUGGACAAUGGGCGCAAGCCUGAUCCAGCCAUGCCGCGUGAGUGAUGAAGGCCCUAGGGUUGUAAAGCUCUUUUGUGCGGGAAGAUACUGACGGUACCGCAAGAAUAAGCCUCGGCCAACUUCGUGCCCGCAGCCGCGGUAAUACGAAGGGGGCUAGCGUUGCUCGGAAUUACUGGGCGUAAAGGGUGCGUAGGCGGGUCUUUAAGUCAGGGGUGAAAUCCUGGAGCUCAACUCCAGAACUGCCUUUGAUACUGAGGAUCUUGAGUUCGGGAGAGGUGAGUGGAACUGCGAGUGUAGAGGUGAAAUUCGUAGAUAUUCGCAAGAACACCAGUGGCGAAGGCGGCUCACUGGCCCGAUACUGACGCUGAGGCACGAAAGCGUGGGGAGCAAACAGG